rnacentral:sRNA from 1 species
CGCGGGCUUCGGCCUGGCGGCGAGUGGCGAACGGGUGAGUAAUAUAUCGGAACGUACCCAAGAGAGAGGGAGAAGGUAGCGAAAGUUACGCUAAUACCGCAUACGAUGUAAGGAUGAAAGUAGGGGAUAGCAAGACCUUGUGCUCAUGGAGCGGCAGAUAUCUGAUUAGCUAGUGGGUGAGGUAAUGGCUCACCAAGGCGACGAUCAGUAGUUGGUGUGAGAGGACGACCAGCCACACUGGAAGUGAGACACGGUCCAGACUCGUACGGGAGGCAGCAGUGGGACUCCUACGGGAGGGGGCAGUGGGGCGGCUGGCUCAGAACGAACGCUGGCGGCCGGCUCAGAACGAACGCUGGCGAAUGGCUCAGAACGAACGCUGGAUCUGNCGGA